ACCUUGAUAAUUUUAAUACCAAGUGUUAAAUAAAUUAAUUCAUAAAAUAAAAUUUCCUAAGGCAAGGAGAUUCUAUUUUCUUUCAAAAAAAAUUUAAUCCACUUAUGGGGGUAAAAAGAUUUUUAAAUGCAUAUCACAUAUACAUAUUUAUACAAAUAUACACAUAUGAUUAUUAAAGAUUCAAUAAGGCUUUGUAGCCUUAACCAUGUAUAUGUUGGAGGUUUUAUUUGGGUCAUUCUUUUUGGGACUUAAAAUCGCGUGUGCUGGAGCAUUUAAACUCAUGUGAAGUAUUGUCCAAAAGUUUGAAAGUUUGAAAAACAAAACCAUGUGCCUUGACCAAAUUAAACUCUCUCUCUUUGGAAGACAAAAUUUUUGAUGGCUAAAAUGGUUUCGGAAAUAGUUUGGCAAUCUGUGUGCUAUGUUGCAUAAAAUUUUCAUUCGAUCCAUUAAAAUUAAAUUGAACUAAUCUCAGCCUUUCAUUUCAAAACUGAUUUCCAAAAUUACUAUUUUAUCCCCAACUUCAAAAACCUAUAAAUAGAGGAGUCUUUCAUUCAAUUGGUUUUAGCCAAUUCACUUGAAAAGAAAAGCUUACUCUCAUUGCCUACAUACUCUCUCUAAGCUUUCUAUUUUUUUUACCAAAGUUUUGAGUAUUUGAGAAG
rnacentral:lncRNA from 1 species